rnacentral:rRNA from 1 species
AGUGAACGCUGGCGGUAGGCCUAACACAUGCAAGUCGAACGGCAGCACAGUAAGAGCUUGCUCUUACGGGUGGCGAGUGGCGGACGGGUGAGGAAUACAUCGGAAUCUACUUUUUCGUGGGGGAUAACGUAGGGAAACUUACGCUAAUACCGCAUACGACCUACGGGUGAAAGCAGGGGAUCUUCGGACCUUGCGCGAUUGAAUGAGCCGAUGUCGGAUUAGCUAGUUGGCGGGGUAAAGGCCCACCAAGGCGACGAUCCGUAGCUGGUCUGAGAGGAUGAUCAGCCAAACUGGAACUGAGACACGGUCCAGACUCCUAAGGGAGGCAGCAGUGGGGAAUAUUGGACAAUGGGGGGAAGCCUGAUCCAGCCAUACCGCGUGGGUGAAGAAGGCCUUCGGGUUGUAAAGCCCUUUUGUUGGGAAAGAAAAGCAGCAGGUUAAUACCCCGCUGUUCUGACGGUACCCAAAGAAUAAGCACCGGCUAACUUCGUG